GUUGGCCUCAAACUCACUGUGCAGCCCAGGCUGUUCUCAAAUUUGUGGUGAUCCUCCUGCCUCAGCCUCCCGGGUGCUGGGAUCAUAGGCGUGUGCUACCACUCCCAGCAGGCCAUGCUCUUCUGACCUGGCAAUGAUGCCACCUCUUACAAAGCAGGUAGCAUUGGGACUGUGACUCGGUUGAGUUUGUUGUAGUCCAUUGUCAUCUCCCAGAGUCCACCUGGUUUUUUUUCAGGGCCCCGACUUGUGAAUUAAAUGCUUCCUGGUUGCCACGGAUUGAGCAUCUUUCCUCUGCCAUUUCCUCCUACCACGCCACGCCUGCCUUAGAAACAGCCACCUAUGGACUGAAUCCAUAAAAUGUGAACCAGAACAGACCUCUCCUUCUUGUUUGUUUUUGGUACCGGAGAUCGAACUCAGGACGUCCACGCUUAGGGAGGCAGGUGGUGGAAGCACUGAGCUAAA
ensembl:lncRNA